rnacentral:rRNA from 1 species
AAUUAUUUCAAUUUUCUUUCACAAUACUAUUACACUAUAAUUAAAAUUAUUUUUUCAUUAUUAAAUACUAAAACAAAUCAUUAUAUAAUUAUUUUUAAUAAUUUAAAUUUUAAAAAUAAAAAUUAAUAAAUAAAAUAUAAUCAAUUUAUAUUGAUUUGCACAAAAAUCUUUUCAAUGUAAAUGAAAUACUUUACUUAAUAAGCUUUAAAUUGCAUUCUAGAUACACUUUCCAGUACAUCUACUAUGUUACGACUUAUCUUACCUUAAUAAUAAGAGUGACGGGCGAUGUGUACAUAUUUUAGAGCUAAAAUCAAAUUAUUAAUCUUUAUAAUUUUACUAUCAAAUCCACCUUCAAUAAAUAUUUCAAAUUUAUAUUCAUAUAAAUAAAUUUAUUGUAACCCAUUUUUACUUAAACAUAAGCUACACCUUGAUCUGAUAUAUUUUCUCUUAUAAAAUUAUGAAAAUUAACAUUCUUAUAAAAUAUUCUAAUAACGACGGUAUAUAAACUGAUUACAAAUUUAAGUAAGGUCCAUCGUGGAUUAUCGAUUAUAAAACAGGUUCCUCUGAAUAGACUAAAAUACCGCCAAA